CCUACGGGAGGCAGCAGUGAGGAAUAUUGGUCAAUGGCCGGGAGCCUGAACCAGCCAAGUCGCGUGAGGGAAGAAGGUACCGAGCAUUGUAAACUUCUUUUGUCAGGGGACAAAGGCAGCCACGGGUGCCUGUACGAGGGUACCUGGAGAAAAAGCAUCGGCUAACUCCGUGCCAGCAGCCGCGGUAAUACGGAGGAUGCGAGCGUUAUCCGGAUUUAUUGGGUUUAAAGGGUGCGUAGGCGGAGUGUUAAGUCAGCGGUAAAAUGUCGGGGCUCAACCCCGGCCGGCCGUUGAAACUGGCGGGCUCGAGUUGGAGAGAGGUAUGCGGAAUGCGUGGUGUAGCGGUGAAAUGCAUAGAUAUCACGAAGAACCCCGAUUGCGAAGGCAGCAUACCGGCGCCACACUGACGCUGAGGCACGAAAGCGUGGGUAUCGAACAGGAUUAGAUACCCUGGUAGUC
rnacentral:rRNA from 1 species